rnacentral:lncRNA from 1 species
GCACACACAGUGGCACAGUGCCAAUCCAGGUUUUGGAUUCCAACGUUCGAUUUCAACAUCUCAUUUCCUCCAGGGGUCGAGGUUUCUAUGUCGCGUCAGGUGCCGGCACGAAGAGGGAAGACACAAUCCUUGACAUCACACAUGACGCUGUGGCUACUGCAGGAGGGAAAACGGGCAAAGUAUUUCACGGCUGCAGUGAUGGGUGUGAACAUCCGAACGACGAUGAGAGCGCCGUCAUUUUCAACCGUGACGUCAACGAGAACGAGGAGAAGAUGGACCUAGGGUGUGCCUGGUGGCACGGUAGCGGGGCAGGGACAGCUGCAUUACCUAUUCAUGUAGUUGGGCAAGAUUUCAGACGUGGAGCAGGCAUGCUUGUGCGUUUCGGUGGUACUCCAGAGAGCGCCGGCGCAUCCUCGAGACAGUUCUCAUCGGUUGCACUGUUCGAGUCGAGCGCACUGGAUCAUAUGCGUCGUGCUACCAUUAACAUA